rnacentral:lncRNA from 1 species
CUUAAACAUUAAUGUUGAUUUAAUUAAAUGGAAAACAAAUAAAUGCUAGAUAAUCGAUCCUUAGUGGGUUGAUUUGGUGACCGAAAAUAUCAAGGGUUAUUAAAACACGUGUCAGCUGCUCAUUUAUUUGUAUUUUUUUUCUUUUUCUUUCCUUUCUUUCUUCUAAUUUAUUUUGUAACCGUUUUGUUCUUGUUUUCUCCGCGAAAAGAAAAUGAUCAAAACCGACGACGGAAACGACGAUUCUGUCGGUCCACUCGACGUCUCCUCCGUCUUCGCCGUGAUUAGAAGGAUCGAAACCCACCACGGACGACGACUCUCUCGGUCCUCAACGCGGCUCCUCCGUCUUGUCUUGUUUUCUCCGUCGGAAGAAGGGUCUAAAAUCCAUCACAAUCGACGCCUCUCUCGUUCCUCACCGCGACUCCUCCGUCUUGUCUCCUCACCGCGACUCCUUUGACUCGUCCGUCUUGUCUCCUCACGAAGACUCCUCACCGUGACUCCUCUGACUCCUCCGUCUUGUCUCCUCACCGCGACUCCUCUUACUCCUCCGUCUUGUCUCCUAACCGCGACUCCUCUGACUUGUCUCCGUUAGAAGAUGGAUCGAAACCCACCACAAUCGACUACUCUCUCGGAGCCCACCGCAUCUGCUCUGUCGGUUCUCAUCUUCUCCGAGUGAAGAAUGGUUCAAACCCAUGACUUCCCGUG